CGGCGAACGGGUGAGUAACACGUGGGCAACCUGCCCCUCAGUCGGGAAUAACCCCGCGAAAGCGGGGCUAAUACCAGAUAACAUCCCGACAUCCAAAGGGGCGCUGAGGGAUGGGCCUGCGGCUGAUUAGCUAGUUGGUGGGGUAACGGCCUACCAAGGCGACGAUCAGUAGCCGACCUGAGAGGGUGACCGGCCACACUGGGACUGAGACACGGCCCAGACUCCUACGGGAGGCAGCAGUGGGGAAUAUUGCGCAAUGGGCGAAAGCCUGACGCAGCGACGCCGCGUGGGUGAUGAAGGCCUUCGGGUCGUAAAACCCUGUCGGGUGGAACGAAUGACGGUACCACCGAAGGAAGCCCCGGCUAACUACGUGCCAGCAGCCGCGGUAAUACGUAGGGGGCGAGCGUUGUUCGGAUU
rnacentral:rRNA from 1 species